GGUCGAAAGGGGAAAUUCAUUCGCGUUUCGAUUGUCGAAAUCGAGCAUUAGUAUGACGGUAAACGUUUCGACGUUUGCAUCUUUUGUUCUUUUAAUCGAUAUCGAACGCGUGCACUUUUCCUCUAGUAGGACGUCGCGAUCCGUUGGGUGUCUGUCUAAGGUUUGAGGUGGAGCCCGCGUGAUUUUUUGAUUGCGCGGACCCUCAUUAUCCCGACAGACUCGCUCGACGGUAUAUUGAUGGCGCGGGGCCGCUACUUUAGUUAGCGUUCGGCCCGUAGCAAGCACGUUCUGUGUUUUGACAGUCAUCGGACCUAGUGCCGAUUCUGUCCCGGAACGACUGUUGGUUACGGUGUUCUCGAACAGACCUCG
rnacentral:rRNA from 1 species